CUGCUCUGGAAACUGUAUGGCUGGAGUGCAGGAGAGGUAAGUGGAAUUCCUAGUGUAGCGGUGAAAUGCGUAGAGAUUAGGAAGAACACCAGUGGCGAAGGCGACUUACUGGACUGUAACUGACGCUGAGGCAUGAGAGCAUGGGGAGCAA
rnacentral:rRNA from 1 species